CAGUAGCCACGGUAAUACGAAAGGUCCAAGCGUUACUCGGAAUUACUGGGCGUAAAGCGCGCGUAGGCGGUCUUGUAUGUCGAUUGUGAAAGCCCCGGGCUCGACCUGGGAACUGCAGUCGAAACUGCAAGACUUGAAUGUUGGAGAGGUUGGGGGAAUACCUAGUGGAGAAGUGAAAUUCGUAGAGAUUAGGUGGAACACCAGAGGCGAAGGCGCCUGACUGGCCAAACAUUGACGCUAAGGCGCGAAAGCGUGGGUAGCAAACAGGAUUAGAUACCCCUGUAGUCCCUGUCUCUUAUAC
rnacentral:rRNA from 1 species